GGCUGAUACUAAUGCAUUCAAAUUUCCCGCUCCAAUUUCAAUUGUUAAUGAUUAACCAAUCAUCUAAUCGUAAUACAUAAAAAUUGUUAGAUUUUUUAAUUGGAAUAAUGAAAAUAAAUCUUUUUAGGUUAUGAAUACUGAAAUAAAGCGACGACAAAAGUUCUAUUGUUCCAUAAACGUUUUCUUGACGUUAAUUAAAGUUAAAAAGGAAAAUCGAAGUAAGUCACCGGUGAUAAUUAGGUGUACAUACCUCGAUUCGAUAACCAUAAGAGAAAAACCUUCAAAUUAUUGAAGAAGAAGGAGAGUCAUUAAACGUGGAAACGUAACCUCAAAAGGAGCCAAGAUAGAACAGGAAGGGGAAAGUACAAGGAAGGAGGAAAAGGACUUCACCAAGGACCUUCGAAAGAACUCGAUCGUAAUUUGUCACGCAACAGGAAUCUCUAAUAUUGAAAUUCCAAUGUUCCCUCCUGAGUAUAAGUAUGAAUGAGAACGAUAAAGGAUAGAGAGAGAAAGUUGGUAAUAAGAAGUUUCCCAAGAAAAAUUUAA
rnacentral:lncRNA from 1 species